UUGUGCUUUGAUUGCCAGGAUUCUGUCUGUGCACAAAUCCUUUCCAGGAAGAUCAUCCCCUGAGUGUUUGAUGCAGAUCCUUCCAAGAGAAGAAAAAACUUAAAGAAGGUGAAAAUAUUAUGGAAGAAGCACCAGCUGAUAUUCUGUCACUUACUGGAGUUGAAACAGAUAUAAUAUGAAUUCAUGGUUCAAAGGAAAAUCUGCUGGUACUUAGUUCAGUCACCACAUGAUCGUAUCCAGUCAAGCCUCAAUGCCACUUUAGAAGAUAAAAAUCUUUCAGAAAUCCAAUUCAGGUACAUCUUUGAAUUGUUUCUAGGUAAUUGGUUGUACAUCUUGCAAUGUCUCAAUAAUGUGCCAUAGAAUUUGGUUGACUGUGCCUUCGUUAUUUUAAUGCAGGUUGCUGCUAAAAAAACAAAUUGGUCACCGUGGAGGUUAUCCAAUGAACGAUCUUUGGAGUACUUUCAAAGAUGAAUUUGAGAAUGAGAAACACAUGCUCAGAGUCGCACUUGUUGUGAAGGCAGCAGAAGAUCUUAGACAGAUCAUCGAACAUGUAAUUACAGAACUUUGUCAUUUUUGUUCUUUUCAUUGGAUCAUCAUUCAGAUUGACUCACUCUAUUUUCUGCAGAAUGUUAUUACCGUUUCCAAGUAUUACUCGAGGAUUACCUCGAAGGGACUUGCAGAGCUGCAAUGCCUCGGCAUACAGGUUGAUUAUGCUGAACAUCUGUUGAUAUUCUUUAUCAAUGUCAAUCUUUAUGAAUGAUUGCCUAGACACCUCAUUUAACCCUGACCAGCCUCUCUGCCCAUGAUCCCUGUGGGACAUGGUUGCUGGAAUUGGAUACAAAUCCCAAAAAAGUGGAAAAGAAGUUUUGGUGCCUUGUAAGCCAAAGGUUUGUCGUGAGGUUGGGAAUGUUGCCUUCGUAGUUUUGUUCCGUAAACAUUUCUGACCGACAUAUAUGUGUAGACUUCACUAAGUCAACUUCUGCUCAUAGAAUUUGUUGUAGCUAUAAGUGUAAUUGUCUGGCACUUUGAAACUGUUUCUUGUCCCAGGGAGCCUAGAAUUCUAAUGGUCUUUAGAAGGGUGGGAGGGGCUCUGCUAUCACUCACCAUUUCCUGUGUUACCAAAGUAUAUCUCGCGAUUAGAGCUUUCUUACUGUGUUCAGAAAAUCUAUGUAGCUGAAUCACUCAAGGAAAAGAGCUCUGUUUUUGGGGUUCUGUUACCGCAGUCGUAGAGAGCUUUAAUCAUUCUAUAUUACCGUUUUAGGAAGCUGAGAAGCAUCUCUCCGAAAUGGUUGUUUCCAA